GCAUCGCCCGGCCAAUUGGCCGGGCGCGGAUUGAAAC
rfam:Thiocapsa sp. KS1 genome assembly, scaffold: THKS1_scaffold1